rnacentral:rRNA from 1 species
AUUGAACGCUGGCGGCAUGCCUUACACAUGCAAGUCGAACGGUAACGCGGGGCAACCUGGCGACGAGUGGCGAACGGGUGAGUAAUACAACGGAACGUGCCCAGUAGUGGGGGAUAGCCCGGCGAAUGCCGGAUUAAUACCGCAUACGACCUACGGGUGAAAGCGGGGGAUCGCACGACCUCGUGCUAUUGGAGCGGCCGAUGUCAGAUUAGGUAGUUGGUGGGGUAAAGGCCUACCAAGCCUACGAUCUGUAGCUGGUCUGAGAGGGCGACCAGCCACACUGGGACUGAGACACGGCCCAGACUCCUACGGGAGGCAGCAGUGGGGAAUUUUGGACAAUGGGCGCAAGCCUGAUCCAGCCAUGCCGCGUGCGGGAAGAAGGCCUUCGGGUUGUAAACCGCUUUUGUCAGGGAAGAAACGCUCUGGGUUAAUACCUCGGGGUAAUGACGGUACCUGAAGAAUAAGCACCGGCUAACUACGUGCCAGCAGCCGCGGUAACAC